CAGAGACAUAUAUACACAGAGAUUGGCAACUGUAACAGUGGUCAGCGAAAUCUAAUCCAAACAUCGCAUCACGCGAGACUUUAACGAGAUCGCCAUUUUUAUUCUAUCACGACAAGUACACCACCUCGCUUCGAUUUUUAUUUUACAUCAAGCAUUUCAAAACAGCAUAAUGUAAGUACAUAUUUCAAUUUCGUAUAUGAAUUACCUUGUUUUAUUCAGUUUGUAGUAGUUAUUAGUUAAAAUAUUGCGACGAUUAACGUUUAAUUGCAGUAUAUAAUAAAGGAAGCUUGGCCGACAUGCACGUUAUGAAAUUUUUUAACCCCUGUCUGUUUACACUUUAUAAACUUUUCCGUCUUCAGAGAAAUAUUGUACCCAGCACAUGCAUUACUUUCCUAUGACAAACUGGAUUGGUAUAUAGAGGUUGUUUUUUUCAUAUUUUCAACCACUUUGAUGCAAUUUACAAUUAAAAAUCAGUAUUAUAGCGGCCAUGUUUUUUUUUUGCUUCAAUAUCAAGACAGACCCCUGUCUGUUUACACUUUAUAAACUUUUCCGUCUUCAGAGAAUUAUUGUACCCAGCACAUGCAUUACUUUCCUAUGACAUACUGGAUUGGUAUAUAGAGGUUGUUUUUUUCAUAUUUUCAACCACUUUGAUGCAAUUUACAAUUAAAAAUCAGUAUUAAAGCUGUCGGCCAUGGUGUUUUGCUUCAAUAUCAAGACAGACCCCUGUCUGUUUACACUUUAUAAACUUUUCCGUCUUCAGAGAAUUAUUGUACCCAGCACAUGCAUUACUUUCCUAUGACAUACUGGAUUGGUAUAUAGAGGUUGUUUUUUUCAUAUUUUCAACCACUUUGAUGCAAUUUACAAUUAAAAAUCAGUACUCAAGCUGUCGGCCAUGUUAAUUUUCUUCAAUAUAAAGACAGACCCCUGUCCAUGGCUACAGGUUAUAAACUUGUCCAUCUUUAGAGAAAAAUUGUAACCAUCACAUGAUUUAAUUUCACAAGACAUACUAAUACUGGAUUUGGGUAUAAAAAUUGUUUUUUUCAUUAUUUCCACCACUUUGAUGACAUUUACAAUUUUAUAUAUAUAUUUACAUUCAGUAUCUGACAGCUUUUUUUUUUAACAGGAUCCUGCACGUUAUAAAAGAACAAAGAUGUUGAUCAAAUUUACCUAACAGUGCAGCAUACAAGAGAUAAAAUAUCAUACAUGUGCUGAAUGUAGGACUCCCAAGUCUUUCUGAUUGAAAUUAAGAAUCCCUGGCAAACAGGAACAACUAUUAGUGAUGACUUUAUCCGAAUGUGACGGCACUGUCAUGUAGUGGACUGAUUACUACUAUCAAUGUGAUACUUAACAAUGGUUUUGUAAGAGAGAAAAUUACAUGUGCUUAUCCUGACUGUAAAAACACCAUACUAUUGUAGUUCAUAUGCCAAACUUGAUGUACAUGUGUAUGCGAUUUUUGUGCAAUUGAUGGCGAGACCAUUGAACUAAAAACAAAUACAAGACUCUGCAUUCAAUCUAUUGAAUUUGAAGCAGAAGUGAUACAGUGGCAGUUGUGCAGAUGGAUAAAAAAGCAAAUAAAUAUCUUGUGUUCAACUUCAUUUGUCUUCUUUAUGUUUACAAAGUAUUACAUGUACAUAGUUUUUACAUACAUGUACAUGUAUAACAAUAUGAUGAUGUAGUAUGAUUGCUAAUGAGACAAUGAUUUACAUGUAUGACUAUCAUUGGAAGGCCACUCUAUAAUAUCUUUGUACAUCAUGAGAAUGGAAAAUGCUACCCUUGUAGCAUAAAGGUAGCAUAAUGUAAAAAAAGAGAAACUGUUCAUUUAUCUUACAACACCCCUGUGAUAUAUCUUGACAGUACUAAAUAGCAAAAUAUUUCGUUUCACAAAUUCCUUCCUCUCCAUGGAAAGUAACAUAUUUAAUUGUUUACAUGAAAUGACAAAAUGUGUAGAAAAAGAAGCAAGAAAUGUCCACUCUACUACUGUACACUAGUCGCUCACAUUGGUCACCAUCUAUGUUUGUUUCAGUCCUUUAACAAAUUGUCAAUGGUGCUUAUUUAUAUUUAUCUGUUUCAGUUUUCUUCUUUAUAAUAUAACAUGUUCUCAUUCUGUGAUCACUAUUUCACCUCUCCUGUUUUGAAAAAAAUGUUUAUGCUAAUAUUUUCUGCAAUAAAUUGAAAAGGCACAGAUGCUAUGACUAAACAGAAAUGUGAGGUAUAUGUCAAUGAGACAACAACCCAACGACAACAAUAUUCU
rnacentral:lncRNA from 1 species